rnacentral:lncRNA from 1 species
CUUGGCAUCGAUAUCCAUAGACUGGAGGAGCUUAAUGAGGACCCCUUGAGUGAGGGAUGCCAUGACAAGAGAUGGAGGGAGAGGGGUAGGGGGCAUGGUCAAUAAUACUGAGAGAAGGGACUUACUCGACGGGGCUCUUGAUCGGGCUAAACUUCGGAUUCAGGCUUAGACCAGAUCCAGGCCGGCCCAAAGGUAUAUCUGAGUCCAGUACGAAAAAUAAACGAACUUUAUAAUUAGGCCCAAUCCCAGCCUGAACUAUUUCGGGCCUAGCCUGAAGUUAGGCUGGUUCGAACCCAAUUCCAGUCCUAAUACCAGCAAUGAGGUUUAUUUUAGCAUCCUAAUGGAGGAUGCGACGAAAAAUAUCAGCAACUAGGAUAAAAUGAAAUAGAGAUAAAUGAUUAUUGUUGGGAGAAUUUUUGCACAAGCUGAUUAUAUGAAAAGAUCCAGGGCCCAAGAUGUCCAUGCUUGGCGGGCCCGUCAAUUGAAGCCUUCAUCAGUUCAAGGUCAGCUAUAAUUCCUACUGAGCUUGUCCUCUAUGACUACCUAUUCGGUGCUUUACAUUCUGAGCAGAUGAAAGCCUGUCGGCUUGUUCAUCACCGCCGAUGUCUCCUCAUCGACCGACCAUUUUCGACUGACCACCUAUGCAUCGUUAAGCAGAUUUGGUGGCAGUACAAAGUGAUCGACUCUUGAUUGUUGCCGAUUCAUCCUCAUCCCUAUAACAAUCAAUUAGCCACUCGAUUCAAAAUAUGAUGCCAGCC